rnacentral:rRNA from 1 species
GAUGAACGCUGGCGGCGUGCCUAAUACAUGCAAGUCGAGCGAACAGACGAGGAGCUUGCUCCUCUGACGUUAGCGGCGGACGGGUGAGUAACACGUGGAUAACCUACCUAUAAGACUGGGAUAACUUCGGGAAACCGGAGCUAAUACCGGAUAAUAUAUUGAACCGCAUGGUUCAAUAGUGAAAGACGGUUUUGCUGUCACUUAUAGAUGGAUCCGCGCCGCAUUAGCUAGUUGGUAAGGUAACGGCUUACCAAGGCAACGAUGCGUAGCCGACCUGAGAGGGUGAUCGGCCACACUGGAACUGAGACACGGUCAGACUCCUACGGGAGGCAGCAGUAGGGAAUCUUCCGCAAUGGGCGAAAGCCUGACGGAGCAACGCCGCGUGAGUGAUGAAGGUCUUCGGAUCGUAAAACUCUGUUAUUAGGGAAGAACAAAUGUGUAAGUAACUAUGCACGUCUUGACGGUACCUAAUCAGAAAGCCACGGCUAACUACGUG